UGAUCUAAUAUAUAUGUUCAUUGUUUCGUCUUUACUUUUAUAUUUUAUGUUUGGUUAUGUUUUAGUUUGGUUAUCGGUUUUCAAUUUAUAUGUCGUAGAUUAAAAUUUUUUUUAGAAACUUAUCUUGCAUUUGACUCAUAACUGAUUAAAAAUAUUUUGAAUGAUAUAUUUUGUAAGAAAAUUAUUACUUUAAUGUUUUAAUUUUUUUUAAAUAAGUAAAGAUAUUUCUACAUGUGUUUUUAAUUUGGACAGUAAAGUAAAUGUAAAUUAUAAAAAUUGUUUACAAUUAUAAAAAAAACUUCCAAUUUAUUACAUU
rnacentral:lncRNA from 1 species